rnacentral:lncRNA from 1 species
GGCAUGGUCAUCCUACACAACCAUGCGUCAGUGUGUUCUUCUGUGUGCCAAGCCCACAAAGACAAGCAGUAAAUGACACGCUUUUCACUGUUCUUGGAGCAUGACUGCACUCAGAUGCAGCAGUGUUUGCAGAAAUGUGAGCUGUUUUCUGAAAGAAAAGGCCACGUGAGAAUUCAGGCUAUUUCAUCUACCACCAGUGCUGCUUGUACUCUUAAAGGACAGCUUCAGCUGACGACAAAGUGUAACAUUUCUGUUGGCCCCCCUUCAGGAAUGCCAAGUUCAGCACAAGAUCUGAGCUUACCCAUGGACCACAGAGUAUCCCAUCAGAUGUGCCUCUGCCACAGGAGUACAGUGAUCCAAGAUUCCAAGCCUGCCUUCCCUGAUCAGCCCCCUGGAUUUUUGCAGAAAGACUGCAGAUGAUGAUGGGUUUUGAUCAAGCAUAAUCGCAUAAAAACAGACUUAUACAUUCUUCCUCACAGGCCAGGCUCCUUCUUCAGCAGUGUACAGAGGUUCUCAUCAUAUCCAGGGGGAGAAUGGACUCACAAGACUACAAGUUCAUUGUCUGCUUCCUUCUCCUUGAAAUAUUACUUUUUUAGAACCUUGGUUUUAAAUAAGCACUAUAAAUCUUACAAGUAUUACUGAGGUCUCAACUCUAAAUAAAUAAUUUAAAACAAAAGUAGUAUAAAUACCC